AGUCGUUGUCGUCAGCUCGUGUCGUGAGAUGUUGGGUUAAGUCCGUAACGAGCGCAACCCUUGUCCUUAGUUUACCAGCACGUUAUGGUGGGCACUCUAAGGAGACUGCCGGUGACAAACCGGAGGAAGGUGGGGAUGACGUCAAGUCAUCAUGGCCCUUACGGCCUGGGCUACACACGUGCUACAAUGGUCGGUACAAAGGGUUGCCAAGCCGCGAGGUGGAGCUAAUCCCAUAAAACCGAUCGUAGUCCGGAUCGCAGUCUGCAACUCGACUGCGUGAAGUCGGAAUCGCUAGUAAUCGUGAAUCAGAAUGUCACGGUGAAUACGUUCCCGGGCCUU
rnacentral:rRNA from 1 species